UUUUUUUUUUGGGUGGGUUUAAGGAGUUUUCUAUUUAGGGUUUUGCUGGGAGCUGAAAUUUUGAUUUAUUUAAUGAGAAUUGCUGAAGUUCUUUGAUUAUUACGAAGAAAUAGCAUUUGGGGUGUCGGAAAAAUUGAAUCUUUUGCGGGUUUUAUUUGUUGAUUUUUGAUGGCUCAGUCUAAUUCUAAGCCACCUAUGAGUAGUCAGAAUUUUGGUGUUGGAGCUGUAUCUCAUGUGAGGUCGUUAUCUCAAUCGAGUAUUUUCUCGAAUAGUUGUUUGCCCCCAUUGAGUCCUUUUCCUCCUAGUGAGCCGGGGAUGGUGUCGGGUCAUUCUAGCUUGAAAGAUAUAUCCAUGGAGGAAGCAGAUGUGAAUUCUCAAGGUGUAGGAGUUGUGUCUUCGUUUACGAGGGAUGGUCUUCCUCCUCGGAAGGGGCAUCGUCGAUCUAAUAGUGAUGUUCCAUUGGGAUUCUCGGCUAUGAUUCAGUCUUCACCUCAGUUGAUGCCUAUAAGUGGUCAGAAGGUUUUAGGGAGAGCAGUGAGUCUUGGGGAUAGCAAUGGAAAGAUUGAUGAGAGGAAACCAAAGGGAGAGGUUACAGAUGAGUUGUUGUUUUCCUACAUGAAUUUGGAAAAUAUAGAGACAUUGAACGGUUCUGGCACGGAGGACAGAGAUAAGGACAGCAUUGUCAGUGGGACAAAGGUAACCGGUUCUGAGAGCAGCAAUAAUGAAGCAGAAAGUGUUAUGAAAGGGAAUAAUGUUAGUAUCCAACCAACAAAUUUAAGGGAAGGAACCAAGAGGAGCGCUGAUGCGAAUAUUGCUCCAGCUGCACGUCACUUUAGGAGUCUUUCCAUGGAUAGUGCUAUUGGAAAUUUUCACUAUGGCGAUGAGUCACCAAAUUUACCAACUUCUCUGAUGAUGCGUUCCGGUCAGCUUUCACCAAGUAAUUCAGGAAAUGAAAGUUCGAGCAAGCACAAUCUUGACUUCGGAAAUUCUGAAUUUAGUGAAGCUGAGAUGAAG
rnacentral:misc_RNA from 1 species